CCCCUCCAUACUCUUUCCCUCUGUCAGGUAGAGCCCUCGCCCUGCCCCUCUGUUUCCCUCUGGCAGGAAGAGCCCUCGCCCCUCCAAUCUGUUUCCCUCUGGCAGGAAGAGCCCUCGUCCUCCAUUCUGUUUCCCUCUGUCAGGCAGAGCCCUCGCCCCUCCUCUCUGUUUCCCUCUGUCAGGCAGAGCCCUCAACCCUCCAAUCUGUUUCCCUCUGGCAGGCAGAGCCCUCGCCCUGCCCCUCUGUUUCCCUCUGUCAGGCAGAGCCCUCGCUCCUCCAAUCUGUUUCCCUCUGGCAGGCAGAGCCCUCGCUCCUCCAUUCUGUUUCCCUCUGGCAGCCAGAGCCC
ensembl:lncRNA